UACGGAAGGCAGCAGUGGGGAAUAUUGCACAAUGGGCGCAAGCCUGAUGCAGCCAUGCCGCGUGUAUGAAGAAGGCCUUCGGGUUGUAAAGUACUUUCAGUCGUGAGGAAGGUGUUAAGGUUAAUAACCUUAGCAAUUGACGUUAGCGACAGAAGAAGCACCGGCUAACUCCGUGCCAGCAGCCGCGGUAAUACGGAGGGUGCGAGCGUUAAUCGGAAUUACUGGGCGUAAAAGGGCACGCAGGCGGUUAAUUAAGUUGGAUGUGAAAAUCCCCGGGCUUAAACCUGGGAAUGGCAUUCAAGACUGGUUAGCUAGAGUCUUGUAGAGGGGGUAGAAUUCCAUGUGUAGCGGUGAAAUGCGUAGAGAUGUGGAGGAAUACCGGUGGCGAAAGGCGGCCCCUGGACAAAAGACUGACGCUCAUGUGCGAAAAGCGUGGGGAGCAAAACAGGAUUAGAUACC
rnacentral:rRNA from 1 species